UAAUACUGGAUAGAUCAAAGAUACUGGAAUGUUCCUUGAUCCAAAGCUCCGGCGUCCAAGGAUGGAUCUGCGGCUUAUCAGGUAGUAGUGGGUGUAACGUACCUACUAGCCUACGACGAGUACGGGUUGUGAGAGCAAGAGCCCGGAGAUGGAUUCUGAGACAUGAAUCCAGGCCCUACGGGGCGCAGCAGGCGCGAAAUCUUUACAAUGCAGGAAACUGCGAUAAGGGGACCCCGAGUGCCAGCAUCUAAUGCUGGCUGUCCAGCUGUGUAAAUAGCAGUUGUUAGCAAGGGCCGGGCAAGACCGGUGCCAGCCGCCGCGGUAACACCGGCGGCCCGAGUGGUAACCGAUUUUAUUGGGUUUAAAGGGUCCGUAGCCGGCCUGUUAAGUCUCUUGGGAAAUCUGGCGGCUCAAUCGUCAGGCGUCC
rnacentral:rRNA from 1 species